rnacentral:rRNA from 1 species
AUACGGAGGAUCCAAGCGUUAUCCGGAUUCAUUGGGUUUAAAGGGUGCGCAGGCGGCCGUGCAAGUCAGCGGUGAAAGCCCGGGGCUCAACCCCGGAAGUGCCGUUGAUACUGCAUGGCUGGAAUGCGGUCGAGGCGGGCGGAACGGGGCGUGGUGCGGGGGAAUGCGUAGAUAUGCCACAGAACGCCGAUAGCGGAGGCGGCUCGCCAGGCCUGCAUUGACGCUCGGGCACGAAAGCGUGGGGAUCGAACAGGAUUAGAUCCCCGGGUAGUCCACGCCGUAAACGAUGGGCGCUCGUCGUCGGCGGCAGACAGUCGGCGGCCAAGCGAAAGCGAUAAGCGCCCCACCUGGGGAGUACGGUCGCAAGGCUGAAACUCAAAUGAAUUGACGGGG